AUUGAACGCUGGCGGCAUGCUUUACACAUGCAAGUCGAACGGCAGCACGGGGGCAGCCCUGGUGGCGAGUGGCGUACGGGUGAGUAAUACAUCGGAACGUGCCCGGUCGUGGGGGAUAACGUAGCGAAAGUUACGCUAAUACCGCAUACGAUCUGAGGUUGAAAGCGGGGGACCUUCGGGCCUCGCGCGAUCGGAGCGGCCGAUGUCAGAUUAGGUAGUUGGGGGGGUAAAGGCCUACCAAGCCGGCGAACUGUACCUGGUCUGAGAGGACGGCUAGCCAGACUGGGAGUGAGGCACGGCCCAGACUCCGACGGGAGGCAGCAGUGGGGAAUUUUGGACAAUGGGCGCAAGCCUGAUCCAGCCAUUCCGCGUGCAGGACGAAGGCCUUCGGGUUGUAAACUGCUUUUGUACGGAACGAAAAGGCUCUGGCUAAUACCUGGGGCUCAUGACGGUACCGUAAGAAUAAGCACCGGCUAACUACGUG
rnacentral:rRNA from 1 species